AUCCUCCUCCUCUUCCCCCACCUCUCUCUCUGUCUGUCUCUCUCUCUCUGUCUGUCUUUCUCUCUCUGUCUGUCUCGCUCUUUCUGUCUGUCUGUCUGUCUGUCUCUCUCUCUCUCUCUGUCUCCUCCUCCUCCUCUCCCUCGCAACAAAGUAUUUUAUCACACUUAGUGAAAUUUUUUUCUCUUUAUUCCAUGCUGACAAAGGCCAUUGCUCUAUUUUCCUAAUUCUCUUCUUUCACAAAAAUAUUGAUAGUGUUUUAUUUGUGUUCCUUGUCGGUCAGUUUCUGGUCAAAACCGACCAGUUGUUGUUAUGCAGUAGCUGUAAAAUGACUUUGAGUAUUUCUAACAUUAUGCUUGUUCCUUUCUUUUUUUUUAUAUCUCACAAUUUAGAAUGGACAACAACAACUGCCCCCUAAAUGACUCCAUGGAUUGUCAGGACAGCCCUAUGCCAUUGAUUGAAGAGCUGAUUUUAAACGACUUAUCCACUGAUUAUUCAGUUGAUGAAUUUAAUUUUGUACCAAUGUUCUAACAGAGCUGUCCUGGUUUUGGAGGGAGUUUGUUAAAACACCCACUUUCUUCUGGAUGUUGUUUUUGUACAAUAACUGACUUCACUGCUGCCUUAGUCAGUAUUACAAACUGCAAUAAUAAGAAUGAUAAUGCUAUUUUAAUAAUAAUGAUAAUAAUAAUAAUAAUAGAUAAUGAGACGUAUCAGAGAUAUGUGUGUGUAUACAUUCAUACGUACAUACGUAUAUAUGUAUGUAUGUAUGUAUGUAUGUAUGUAUGUAUGUACGUAUGUAUGUAUGUAUAUAUGAAAUGUAUUUUUAUUGUAUUAGGAUAUGGAGAUUGUACAUUGAUAUUUUAAAAUUUUAUAUAGUAUACACAUAGUUCCUUAAACUAUACCAAAAGUUAACACCAAAAUGAGCCACAUGGCUCUUGGAUCUUCUAUAUAAAUGAAGAUCUUUCUUUUACUUUGCUGUUUUUCUCUCUAUGAAAUGAGAAAAUACAUUGCGUAACUGUUAUUUUAAUGAGUGAUAUUUAUUUAUCGCCCAGUGAGACACAUCUGCAUCGUUGAAUGCUCCUGAACCAGUUGUUAAGUUUCCCACCCGUGAGGGAUCAAUGUGGAUGUGUCGAAACAAUUGUCGUGAUUGAUAAUAAAAAUUCUCAUAUA